UGGGGGAUAUUGCACAAUGGGCGAAAGCCUGAUGCAGCGACGCCGCGUGGGGGAUGAAGGCCUUCGGGUUGUAAACUUCUUUUGCUCUGAACAAGGCAUGCUAAUGGGUGUGUUGAGUGUAGGGGUUGAUUAGCGCCGGCUAACUACGUGCCAGCAGCCGCGGUAAUACGUAGGGCGCGAGCGUUGUCCGGAAUUAUUGGGCGAAAGGGCUUGUAGGUGGCUGGUUGCGUCUGUCGUGAAAGCUCAUGGCUUAACUGUGGGUUUGCGGUGGGUACGGGCUGGCUUGAGUGCAGUAGGGGAGGCUGGAAUUCCUGGUGUAGCGGUGGAAUGCGCAGAUAUCAGGAGGAAUACCGGUGGCGAAGGCGGGUCUCUGGGCUGUUACUGACACUGAGGAGCGAAAGCAUGGGGAGCGAACAGG
rnacentral:rRNA from 1 species